rnacentral:rRNA from 1 species
CAGUAGCCGCGGUAAUACGAAGGGGGCUAGCGUUGCUCGGAAUGACUGGGCGUAAAGGGCGCGUAGGCGGCGGCCAAAGUCAGGCGUGAAAUUCCCGGGCUCAACCUGGGGGCUGCGUUUGAUACUUGGUUGCUUGAGUGGGGAAGAGGGUCGUGGAAUUCCCAGUGUAGAGGUGAAAUUCGUAGAUAUUGGGAAGAACACCGGUGGCGAAGGCGGCGACCUGGUCCUUGACUGACGCUGAGGCGCGAAAGCGUGGGGAGCAAACAGGAUUAGAGACCCCUGUAGUCCCUGUCUCUUAUAC